UACGGAGGAUGCAAGCGUUAUCCGGAGUGAUUGGGCGUAAAGCGUUUUAAGGUGGUUUGGUAAGUCUACUGUUAAAUAUCAGGGCUUAACCCUGAACAGGCAGUGGAAACUAGCAGGCUGGAGUACGGUAGGGGCAGAGGGAAUUCCCGGUGUAGCGGUGAAAUGCGUAGAUAUCGGGAAGAACACCGAAGGCGAAAGCACUCUGCUGGGCCGAAACUGACACUGAUAGACGAAAGCUAGGGGAGCAAAUGGG
rnacentral:rRNA from 1 species